rnacentral:rRNA from 1 species
UGAAUACGAGAUGCUACGGUGUUGAAGCAGUGUAUGUCAGACUUCCAAGAAAAGCUCGCAAUGUCAUAAAUAAAGAAUGCCUGUACCAUAACCGACACAGGUGGGUAGGUAGAGUAUACUAAGGGGCGCGAGAUAACUCUCUCUAAGGAACUCGGCAAAAUAACUCCGUAACUUCGGGAGAAGGAGUGCCUUCUUUAAGAAGGUUGCAAUAACAAGAUCCAAGCAACUGUUUAUCAAAAACACAGGUCUCCGCUAAGUCGUAAGACGAUGUAUGGGGGCUGACGCCUGCCCAGUGCCAGAAGGUUAAAGAAAUUGGUUAGCAUUUGCGAAGCUGAUGACUGAAGCCCUGGUGAACGGCGGCCGUAACAAUAACGGUCCUAAGGUAGCGAAAUUCCUUGUCGGGUAAGUUCCGACCCGCACGAAAGGCGUAAUGAUUUGGAUACUGUCUCGGAGAGGGGCUCGGUGAAAUAGACUUGUCUGUGAAGAUGCGGACUACCUGCACCAGGACAGAAAGACCCUAUGAAGCUUUACUGUAACUUGAAAUUGAAAUUGGACUUUAUUUGCGCAGCAUAGGUGGAAGGCGUUGGGACUAAUCUUGCGGGAUUGGUGGAGCCAUCAGUGAGAUACCACUCCUAUAAUGUUAGAUUUCUAACUUUGAAUCAUGAUCUGGUCAAAGAACAGUUUCAGGCGGGCAGUUUGACUGGGGCGGUCGCCUCCCAAAUGGUAACGGAGGCGUACAAAGGUUUCCUCUGAACGGGUAGAAAUCGUAUCUAGAGUGUAAAGGCAUAAGGAAGCUUGACUGUGGGACCUACAAGUCGAGCAGGGACGAAAGUCGGUCUUAGUGAUCUGACGGUGCUGAGUGGAAAGGCCGUCACUCAACGGAUAAAAGUUACUCUAGGAUAACAGGCUGAUCUCCCCCAAGAGUUCACAUCGACGGGGAGGUUUGGCACCUCGAUGUCGGCUCAUCGCAUCCUGGGGCGGUAGUACGUCCCAAGGGUUGGGCUGUUCGCCCAUGAAAGCGGUACGCGAGCUGGGUUCAGAACGUCGUGAGACAGUUCGGUCCAUAUCCGGUGUAGGCGUUAGAAUAUUGAGAGGAGCCUUCUUUAGUACGAGAGGACCGAGAAGGACAUACCUCUGGUGUACCAGUUAUCGUGCCAACGGUAAACGCUGGGUAGCUAUGUAUGGAGAGGAUAACCGCUGAAAGCAUCUAAGUGGGAAGCCCACCUCAAGAUGAGUAUUCUCGU